rnacentral:rRNA from 1 species
UAAGGAAUAUUGGUCAAUGGACGCAAGUCUGAACCAGCCAUGCCGCGUGAAGGAUGAAGGUCCUCUGGAUUGUAAACUUCUUUUAUCUGGGACGAAAACGGGAUUUUUAUCUCAAUUGACGGUACCAGAGGAAUAAGCACCGGCUAACUCCGUGCCAGCAGCCGCGGUAAUACGGAGGGUGCGAGCGUUAUCCGGAUUUACUGGGUUUAAAGGGUGCGUAGGUGGGCUUAUAAGUCAGUGGUGAAAUCUCCGAGCUUAACUUGGAAACUGCCGUUGAUACUAUAGGUCUUGAAUUAUCUGGAGGUGAGCGGAAUAUCUCAGGUAGCAGUGAAAUGCUUAGAUAUUACAUAGAACACCAAUUGCGAAGGCAGCUUACUACAUAUAAAUUGACGCUGAGGCACGAAAG